GUCGAGAAUAAUUCACAAUGGGGGAAACCCUGAUGGUGCAACGCCGCGUGGAGGAUGAAGGUCUUCGGAUUGUAAACUCCUGUCAUCUGGGAGUAAGACCUGACGGUGAAUAGCCGGCAGGGUUGAUAGUACCAGAAGAGGAAGGGACGGCUAACUUCGUGCCAGCAGCCGCGGUAAUACGAAGGUCCCAAGCGUUGUUCGGAAUCACUGGGCGUAAAGGGAGCGUAGGCGGCGUGGUAAGUCAGAUGUGAAAUCCCGGGGCUCAACCCCGGAACUGCAUCCGAUACUGCCAUGCUUGAGGGUUGGAGAGGUAGCUGGAAUUCUCGGUGUAGCAGUGAAAUGCGUGGAUAUCGAGAGGAACACUCGUGGCGAAGGCGAGCUACUGGACAACAUCUGACGCUGAGGCUCGAAGGCCAGGGGAGCAAAAGGGAUUAGAUACCCGGGUAGUCC
rnacentral:rRNA from 1 species